UACGGGGGGUGCAAGCGUUGUCCGGAAUCAUUGGGCGUAAAGAGUUCGUAGGCGGUAUGUAAAGUCCGGUGUUAAAUCCCGAAGCUCAACUUCGGCACGGCACUGGAUACUUGCAAACUAGAAUGUGGUAGAGGUAAAGGGAAUUCCUGGUGUAGCGGUGAAAUGCGUAGAUAUCAGGAGGAACAUCGGUGGCGAAAGCGCUUUACCGGGCCAUUAUUGACGCUGAGGAACGAAAGCCGGGGUAGCAAAUGGG
rnacentral:rRNA from 1 species